UAAGACUUCAAGUUUCAGUGGUUUGGUGAU
rnacentral:piRNA from 1 species